rnacentral:rRNA from 1 species
UACGAAGGGUGCAAGCGUUACUCGGAAUUACUGGGCGUAAAGCGUGCGUAGGUGGUUUGUUAAGUCUGAUGUGAAAUCCCCGGGCUCAACCUGGGAAUGGCAUUGGAUACUGGCAGGCUAGAGUGCGGUAGAGGGUGGUGGAAUUCCCGGUGUAGCAGUGAAAUGCGUAGAGAUGCGGCGGAACACCGAUGGCGAAGGCAGCCCCCUGGGCUGAGAUUGACGCUCAGGCACGAAAGCGUGGGGAGCAAACAGG